GUUGAAAAAAAAAAAACCACUCCCCCAGAUCCACGCCGCCACCCCUACGCCCGACGCGGAGACCGGCCUCCGCGCCCCCCACGCUUGCGACGCGAGAGGGCCGGCGCGCGCCUGCUCGCCCAGAUCCCCGCCGCCGCCCGCGAAGGCCGGCCUCCCCUCGCCCCCCCCCCCCCCCCCCCCCCCACACGCUUGCGAUGCGAGAGGGCCGGCGCGCGCCUGCUCGCCCAGAUCCCCGCCGCCGCCGCCCCUACGCACGACGCGAAGGCCGGCCUCCGCGCGCCCCUACGCCUGACGCGAGAGGGCCGAAGGGCGGCACGGCGAUGACGCGGCGGUGCUCGCACUGCAGCCACAACGGGCACAACUCACAGACGUGCCCCAACUGCGGGGGAGAUCUUCGGGGUGCGCCUCACCGAUGGCUCGGCCAAGAGCGCCAGCAUGGGAACCUCUCCCUCCUCUCCGCCAGAUCCACAAGCAGCGGCGCCUCCCCCCGCAGACGGGCCCGACCUCACCGACGGCUGUGGGGGCUAUGCAUCGACGACUUCGCCCAGGGGUCCUCCGCCAGCCCCGAGCGCAAAGAAGGGAGAAGUGUUUGAAGGCCAAAAUGUCUUAUGGGAGAAGUGUAUGAAGGCCAAAGUGAAUCAUGAGAAAGUUAAGUACCAUCACAAGACAGGAACUAGGCUCUACAUUGCGCAGACCUCUGCUCAGACCAGCAAGGUGAGCUAGAAGACUUGAAGUUGCUAGGAAUCUGAAGUUGGCUGUGAGAUCAUAGAGUUGUCUUGGUUGUUCAGUGAACAUAGAGUUAUUGAGUGACUUGGCUGAUUGUAUCUAGGUUGUUUUUCGAGUGACUUGACAACUGAUAUUGGGUUGUAAUAAAUAUUCUGUAAAGUUACCUGUGUUUUGAAUGAAUAUGUUGUUAUGAAGUUAAUUAGCAUUGUAAUACUGGAUUAGAUUCUUUUA